AUCGCUGUAGCUUCAUCAGGGAAAUAGAUCUACUUCUAGCCGGGGUUGGAGCCGUUGCUGUGGACGGAGAGACGGGGACGUGAGUGGCCAUUGAGGGCGGACAGGGUGCCAGUGAACCCCCCCCCCCCCCCCCCCCAUCUACUCGGUGUGCGGGCUGAGCUUCGAGGGGCUGAGCUUCGAUGGAGGACCACAGGGUGGGGCACAGCAAGGAGAAGCA